UUAUACAUUGUUGGAACUCAAUUUUAUAUGUUUUGUGCUUUCUAAUUUUCUAGUAUUUGCAUCAAUGUAAGUUUCUAUUCUAGCAUUAGUGAGUUUCUAUGCAUAUCUUCAAUUUUCUCUGAUAAGAGGCUAAAAUUACUUAUUUUUGUGAAACUACUGCAUGAGUGUGGUGCCAAUCAACAGUGGCGGAUGGUGGCGUGGACAACGACAAUGGCACGGCGUGGUCAAGUAUGCAUAUUACAUGGAUUGAUAUAUUGUUGUGCCUUCGUUUAUAGAAUACUUUCCUAUUUCU
rnacentral:lncRNA from 1 species